ACGAACCGUGCGAACGUUGUUCGGAAUCACUGGGCUUAAAGGGCGCGUAGGCGGGCUGCCAAGUCUGUGGUGAAAUCCCCCGGCUCAACCGGGGAACGGCCGUGGAUACUGGCGGUCUCGAGGGGGGUAGGGGCAUGCGGAACUGUGCGUGGAGCGGUGAAAUGCGUUGAUAUGCACAGGAACUCCGGUGGCGAAGGCGGCAUGCUGGACCUCUUCUGACGCUGAGGCGCGAAAGCUAGGGGAGCGAACGGGA
rnacentral:rRNA from 1 species